CGGGCGCGGCGAAUCACCCGGCGUUCUCGCCGGUGCACUUCGACGCGCCCGGGCCAGCAUCAGCUCGCCGCGGGGGACAAAGGCGCCGGGGACGUGGCUCCCCAGGGAGUGUUAUAGCCCGGCGCGCAACGCCCCGCGGCGGUCUGAGGUUCGCGCGUCCGCAAGGAUGCUGGCGUAAUGGUCACCAGUGACCCGUCUUGAAACACGGACCAAGGAGUCGUCCUCGUAUGCGAGUGUUCGGGUGUCAAACCCCUACGCGCAAUGAAAGUGAACGCGGGUGAGAGCCUCGCGGCGCAUCAUCGACCGAUCCUGAUGUUCUCGGAUGGAUUUGAGUAGGAGCAUACGGGGCCGGACCCGAAAGAAGGUGAACUAUGCCUGUGUAGGGUGAAGCCAGAGGAAACUCUGGUGGAGGCUCGCAGCGGUUCUGACGUGCAAAUCGAUCGUCAAACAUGGGCAUGGGG
rnacentral:rRNA from 1 species